rnacentral:lncRNA from 10 species
UGGUAGUUUCUUUUCCUGUGCAGAAGCUCUUUAGUUUAAUUAGAUCCCAUUUGUCAAUUUUAUGUUUAAACCUGAUUGCAACUACUAAAACCAGCCAAACAAACAAACUUCUAUAGCUAAUAGAACAAUAGAAAAGAAAACAAAAUAGAAUCUUUUUUUUCCUUCCAACUUUUAAGUUCAGGGGUACAUGUGCGAGUUUGUUACAUGGGUAAAUUGCACAUCACUGAGGUGUGGUAUACAAAUGAUAUCAUCACCCAAGUAGUGAGUACAGUACCUGAUAGGGUAGGUUUUUUUUUUAAAAUUUUUAUUAUUUUUUUAGACAGAGUGAGACUCUGUCACCUAGGCUAGAAUACAGUGACUUGAUCUUGGCUCAUUGCAACCUCUACCUCCUGGGUUCAAGGGAUUCUCCUGCUUCACCCUCCCAAAUAGCUGGGAUUACAGGUAUACACCACCAUGCUCAGCUAAUUUUUUUUUUGUAUUUUUAGUAGAAAUAAGGUUUCACCAUGUUAGCCAGAUUGGUCUCAAACUACUGACUUCAAGUGAUCCGCCUGCCUCUGCCUCCUAGAGUGCUGGGAUUACAGACGUGGACCACUGCACCCAGCCCUGAUAGGGAUAACUUGACAGAAUCAAAACCUGGCAACACGAGAAGUCAAAAAGGAACAACGGGAUGGUGAAGGCAAAAUGGUGACUCAAAAUUCCAGACAAGAGAUUGCGGAGGGCAAAGGUCAAGUUGGGAAGAUGGAGAAGCACAACAUCAGGAGUAUCUGACAACAGUUAAGAAGCAGAUUUUAGGCUCACCAAGAAACAGACAUAGAAUCCUGUUAGAAAUUAAAAGUGGAUUGGAGAAGAAACUGAUGCUGAGGCUGAAACAAGGCUUCUCACCUCUCUCCUACAAAUUGAAUAUACCCAUGUAAGAAGAGAAGCAGAGAGAAAGGGGGUUGCCCAGGUCUCUGUAUUUUCUAAGACAUACAAUAUUGGAGUUAGGCCAAUUAAUAACUCUACCAUGUCACCUAAAUGUUCAAGUGAAAGGAAGAGAUGCACAUUUCUCACUUUAAAUCAACAGCUAGAAAUAAUCAAUCCUAGCAAGGAAGACACGUCAAAAGCCAAGAUAUGACAAAAUCUAGGCCUUUUGUGCUGGCAAGCGAAGUUGUGAAUGCAAAGGAAGAAUUCUUGAGGGAAAUUAAAAGUGUUACUCCAGUAAAUGUAUGAAUGAUAAGAAAGCAAAACAGGCUUAUUGCUGAUAUGGUGAAAGUUUGACUCUUCUGGAUAGAAGAUCAAACCAGCCACAACAUUCCCUUCAGCCAAAGCUUAAUCUAGAGCAUGACCCUAACUCUCUUUUACGAAGGCUGAGAAGAGUGAAGAAGCUGCAGAAGAAAAGGUUGAAGUUGAUUUAGCAGAGGGUGGUUCAUGAGGUUGAAGGAAAGAAGCCAUCUUCAUAACAUAAAAGUGCUUAAUUAAACUAAAUAGCUUCUGCACAGCAAAAGGAAGGCAGCAGAUUAAGCAGACAACCCACAGAAUGGGAGAAAAUCUUCACAAUCUAUACAUCUGACAAAGGACUAAUGUCCAGAAUCUACCACAAACUCAAACAAAUUAGUAAGAAGAACAAAGAAUCCCAUCAAAAAGUGGGCUAAGGACAUGAAUAAACAAUUCUCAAAAGAUGAUGUACAAAUGGCCAUUAAACAUGAAAAAAUGCUCAACAUCACUAAUGAUUGGGGACAUGCAAAUCAAAACCACAGUGCAAUACCACCUUACUCCUGCAAGAAUGGCCAUAAUCAAAAAAUCAAAAAAUAAUUGAUGUGUGCAUGAAUGUGGUGAACAGGGAACACUUCUACACUGCUGGUGGGAAUUUAGUACAACCACUAUGGAAAACAGUGUGGAGAUUCCUUAAAGGACUAAAAGUAGAUCUACCAUUUGAUCCAGCAAUACCACUUCUGGGUAUCUACCCAGAGAAAUAUAAGUCAUUAUACAAAAAAGAUACUUGCACUUGCAUGUUUUUAGCAGCACAAUUCACAAUUGCAAAAAUAUGGAACCAGUCCAAAUGCUCAUCAAUCAAUGAGUGGAUGAAGAAAUUGUGGUAUAUAUAUCUAUACAGUGGAAUGCUACUUAGCCAUAAAAAGGAAUGAAUUAAUGGCAUUUGCAGCAACCUGGAUGAAACCAGACUGUGGUUCUAUGGAAAGUAACUCAGGAAUGGAAAACCAAGUAUCAUAUCUUCUCAUUCAUAAGUGAGAGCUAAGCUAUGAGGAUGCAAAGGCAUAAGAAUGAUACAAUGGACUUCAGGGCCUCAGGGGAAAGGGUGGGAGGGGUGUGAGGAAUAAAAGACUACAAACUGGGUUCAAUGUAUACUGCUUGGGUGAUGGGUGCCCCAAAAUGUAACCAAAUACCACCUGUUACCCAAAAACCUAUGGAAAUCAAAAAUUUUUUAAAAAGUGCAAGAUGGAGCAGUAAGUUCUGAUGGAGAAGCUGCAGUAAGUAAUCCAGAAGAUCUGGGUAAGAUCAUUCAAGACGGUGGCUACACUAAAUAAUGGAUUUUCAAUGUAGAAGAAAGAGCCUUUUAAUGGAAGGAGAUGCUGUCUACAACUUUCCUAGCUAGAGAGGAGAAGUUAAUGCCUGUCUUCAAAGCUUCAAAGGACAGGCUGACUAAUGCAUCUGGUGACUUUAAGUAGAAACGAAGCUCAUUUACUGUCCUGAAAAUCAUAGGACCCUGAAGAAUUGUGCUAAACCUACUCUGCCUGUACUCUAUGAGGUAAGCAGCAAAGCCUGGAUGACAGCACAUCUGUUUGCAGCAUGGCUUACUGAAUAUUUUAAGUCAAUUGUUGAGACCUACUGCUUGGGGAAAAAAAUUCUUUUAAAAUAUUACUGCUCAUUGAUAAUGCAGCUGGUCAACCAAGAGCUCUGAUGGAAAUGUACAAGGAGAUUAUUGUUGUUUUCAUGUCAGCCAAUACAACAUCCAUUCUGAAUCCCAUGGAUUAAGGAGUUGUUUUAUUAUGAUACUCACUUUAUUGCAGUGGACUGGAACCAAACCCUCAGUAUCUCCAAGGUAUGCUUGUAAUAAGUAUCACCAUUAACAAUGAACAAUUGUUCAUUAAUAUUAUCAAAUUAACAUUAAAUUCUUAAUAUCAUCAAAUAUCCAGAGUUCAGAUUUCUCUAAUUGCAUUUUUUAAAUUAUACUUUAAGUUCUGGGGUACAUGUGCAGAAUGUGCAAGUUUGUUACAUAGGUAUACGCGUGCCAUGGUGGUUUACUGCACCCAUCAACCCAUCAUCUACAUUAGGUAUUUCUCCUAAAGCUAUCCCUCUUCUAGCCCCACACCCCCUGACAGGCCCCAGUGUGUGAUGUUCCCCUCCCUGUGUCCAUGUGUUCUCACUGAUCAACUCCCACUUAUGAGUGAGAACAUGUGGUGUUUGGUUUUCUGUUCCUGUGUUAGUUUGCUGAGAAUGAUGGUUUCCAGCAUCAUCCAUGUCCCCGCAAAGGACAUGAACUCAUCAUUUUUUAUGGCUGCAUAGUAUUCCAUAGUAUAUAUGUGCCACAUUUUCUUUAUCCAGUCUAUCAUUGAUGGGCAUUUGGGUUGGUUCCAAGUCUUUGCUAUUGUGAACAGUGACACAAUAAACAUAAAUGUGCAUGUGUCUUUAUAGCAGAAUGAUUUAUAAUCCUUUGGGUAUAUAUCCAGUAAUGGGAUUACUGGGUCAAAUGGUAUUUCUGGUUCUAGAUCCUUGAGGAAUCUCCACACUGUCUUCCACAAUGGUUGAACUAAUUUACACUUCCACCAACAGUGUAAAAGCAUCCCUAUUUCUCCACAUCCUCUCCAGCAUCUGUUGUUUCUAAUUGUAUUUUAUAUGUGCAUUUAUGUAUGAUACAAAAUAUGUUUGCACUAUAUAUUAGAUAUAUUUAUAUUUAUACAUAAACACAUAAAUGUGUGUGUUUCCAGUCAGUUUGUUUGAUACAGGAUCCAAACAAGAUUUACACAUUAAAUUUAGUUUCUAUGUCUAAUUAUCUUGUAUUCUGUAGGUUCCCUCCUAGUACUCACUUUGUUUUUCUAGCAAUUUAUUAGUUGGGGAAAACAGAUUAUUUGUUCAAGUGUCUGCAUUUUGGAUUUUCAUGAUUGCAUUACUGUGAUGUCAUUAAAAUGCUCCUCCAUUCUGUGUAUAUUAUGUAAACUAGUAGUUAUAUUUGAGGCAAUUAGAUUUCUUCAUUUGUUUGUUCAUUUGUUUUACAAGAAUACUUUCUAGUUGGAGAGUUGAAUAUUACCAUAUCUCAAAACUAUGUAUUUACUUCUUGACUUACUAACUGUACUUUAGAAAUUUACCCUCAGGAAACACCCCCACCCCACCCAUAAUACAAAAUAACAUACAUAGCAGAGACAUCUCCAAUAACAAAAUAUUUGGAACAACCUAAAUGCCUGUGUUUAGGAAAUUGAUGAACUAGACCAUGGUACCGCCACACAAUGUACCAUAAGUCAUACAAAAAAGCAAAAACAAAGAGAAAAAUGAAAAUCUCUAUGACCUAACAUGGAACAAUUUUCAGUAUUUAUUAAGUGAAAAAAUUCAAGGGGCAAAAUGAUAGAUAGAGUACACUACAGUUUGUAUAAGAAAGCAUCAUGUAUAUGUUUAUACACUUAUAUGACUAUUUUUACAAGAAAGAAAUAAAGGAUUGGUAAACCAUCAGCUAAAGAAAAUAGUUAACUAUCUUUAGAGUGACAACUGGAUGGGAGAGUAGACAAAGGGAUGACUUCUCAGAAUAUACCUUUUGUAAAUAUAAAGUCUUUACUUUUGAGUCAUGUAGAUGUUUUACUUAUUUAAACAUGGUGCAUGUAGACAAAAA